CAGUGCCGGGAGCAGCAGGUCCAGGGACCUGCCAGGCAGAGUGGGGUGCUGCUUGUCUGCCGCGGGGCAGGUCCAGGGCUCAGUCACUCAUUCUCACAACACAGCUCUGGACCAAUGACAGCUGUCAGUCUAAUGCCAAGUCUUCACUCGACAGACCCCGCCGGUGGCCAGGUUGGACAUGGGUGAUCAUGCGUGCAGACUGUUUUCCACGGAAAGCUACACACCAGCACUGACCAAGCAGCCCGCGUGCUGCAGCAGGUGCUAACAGACGUCGCAGCUGUCUGACUGGCAAAAACACUGUGGGCUUGCUCUAACGGUCAUUUGGGUCGGUGGAAUGUGGGGAGUCUGACCUCUGCUUUCAGGAGACUGCUGCCCAGAGUCACAGGGCAUCGCGGGGACCAGGCUGACCACCUGUCAGAUUCUCUCCUUCCGCAGUACUUUAACCCUCCUGUUGUUUUUUCCCUCGGGUUUUUUAAAAAACAGCUCUACUGAAGUCUAAUUUACAUACCAUGCAUUUCACCCAUCUAAAGUGUGCCGUGAGUUCAAGAACUCCACCAAGUGUGCAGCUGUCACCCUAACCAGACUCAGUUUUCAUCACCCCACGCCCCGCCCCUUCCACCCCCAGCACCGACAACCAUGAUCCGCGCUCCUUCUGUCAGUUUGCCCCAGGACAGUUUGUACGGGCGAACCAUACAGUGUGGUCUUUGGUGUCUGGCGUCGUGCACCAGCGUAAAGUGUGGGAGUGCCAUCCGCGUGGGGCAUGUGUUGCUGUUUCCUUUUUACUGAACUGCCUGGUUUGUUUUUCACUGGAGUGAAGGGUUCACCAGUGGUUCUGCACUGGGACCAGUGGUGGGACAUCUGGGGGCAUCUUGAUGGUCACAUGGGGGUGGGGCUGCUGCUGGCGUCUGGCACGUGGAGGCCAGCGAUGCUGGAACACAGGGCCCCACGACAAACAACUACCUGUCUCAGAAUGUCAGUGGUGCUGAAGCUGAGGAUCCCAGGCUAGGCUUCUCGGAGUUUCCAUUGCUGUCGAGGCCCCUGUUUAAGACCAACUGGCGCACAGUGGGACUCUUCCCUCCUGUCUGACUAUGUAUUACUGAACUGGGGUUCUGUUUGUCUGAUUUCUGUGUGUGUAAAAUAUGAAUUCAUUUGUGAAACUGAUAAUCUUUUUUUACCAUUUGGGAAAGUUUUGGAAUCUCGCAAAAUAGUAUUCAGUAGGUUGCACUGUCCACCAAAGAGAAAGGUGAGGAAAAAGAGUAUACAGUUCUUAUCCCCUGGUUGAGAUCUCAGUAUAGCCUGGUUCUGAAAACUUAGCGACAGAAAAGUAGCAGAUGUCUUGGCUUGUGCCGCUUAAAUUCCAGGAGCUGCAGGAGCCACUGGGCGGUUUAUAAUACAGGCAUCUAAUGAAGAACAUUAAGUUCAUUCAGCAACAAAUUGCACCAUAAUUUUUGUGGAAUGGGGUCCAAUAUUAUGUACUCUGGUUAUAUUUUUCCAGUUCAGCUUCAAAUUUUGAAGCUGCUGUUAUUCUUAACAUUAAUGAAGCAAUUUUAUGUGGGACGGAGGUUAAAAGAAACAGAUAUAAAGAAAACAACACUAAAGAAGUUCUUCUCACCAGCAUAAAACCCUUCUUGAGAACAGGAAGAGAUCAGCCAGAGUUAAAACACUUUGUUUUUGAGGCCAGGGAUUCCCUGACUGCUGGACUUUCCUCCAGGGAGGUUGAGAUGCCAAGAGGUGGAAUGCUGUCUCCUGGUUCUUUUAAGCUUUGUGUGAUGAUGAAUAAGAAACAAGGUUUUCUGAAGCUGAUAACGUUAAGAGGAGACUGAACUGCCAUGAGCUGGUGAACCAUCCUUGGCAGAGGGUACCUUUGGGAAUCUGACAAAUAAACAGUGUGUUUCAACUGCCUGGGUGACUUCUCCUCACCCUGACAGCUCUUGUGUUCCAGUGGGCAGCUCCAGCCCAGCCCCCAGAGAGGGAGCGGCCAGAGGGGAGUGCGGACUGUGUGUAGGCUGGGAGCAGGCAGAACGGGGUCUCCCACAGUCUGACGUCCGGCGUCACCCGAGUCUCCUCAGCACCUCCUGCCAAAACUGAUGGUAAACCACAUCAGAAAUACAGGGUAGAAGUAAACUGGGCAAGAUAUAUACCCACACCUGUGCGGGUGCACACAUGCAACACACAUACAUGACAUGCACACCCGUACACGUAGGCGCCUGCACGUACAGUACAUGCACACGCUACACACAUGCCCCCCCACAGCACAGGCAUUCACGCACACACGCACGUUCCUCAGAAUCACGGUGAGCACUUUGCAGACAUUUAUUCAUCACUGCCAGACAGUUAUUUUGUGUCUGUGUUACAGGUGAGAACACUUAGGCUCAGAGAGGUCAAGUAAUUUGAUCAGGGCCAUGCAGCUGGUGAGUAGUAGCAAUUAGGAGGUUUUCUCUAAAUCCAAAUUCCAAAGAGAGAAGCAGUGCAAGAGAAAAUCUCGCCUUUAGAAAGCUGUCACUCCAACAUAAAAAGACCAGUGGUGUGGGAGUGAGGGAGAUGCCUAGGCAGAGCUGAGGCGGUGGAAACACGCGUAUACCAUUAUAAUGUGGAAACAUCUGUCGACACCCACAGAGAGCACAGCAGCAAGGGUGACCUUGACGUGAAUGCUGGGUGAUGGCGAUCGGCGUGCGGCGGGUUUGUGGACAGAGACGUGUACCAGGUAUUGGCGGCACUGGGUGUGUGCUGAGGGGGCGUGGCAGGCGCACAUGGGAAAUCUCUGUGCCUGUCGGGAACCUAAAACUACUCUGAAAAAAGAAAGUCUGUAAAAAUAAAAAGACGUAGCCCCACACUCAGUGUUCCAGCUCAGCUGUUUCAAUACCGCUUACAGAAGAUUCAACUUGGUCGAUCAACUGCCUGAAUUAGAAGCUCAGGAAUGUGCUAACCCUUUGUCUGUCUCUCUCUCUUAACAUAAAAGUAGCUUUUUUCUAAA